CACGGGGGGGAGCAAGCGUUGUUCGGAAUCACUGGGCGUAAAGGGCGUGUAGGCGGUCAAGUUUAGUGGGAUGUGAAAUGCCUCGGCUCACCCGAGGACCUGCAUCCCAAACUGCUUGGCUUGAGUACGGGAGAGGAUGAGGGAAUUCCUGGGUGUAGCGGUGAAAAUGCGUAGAUAUCAGGGAGGAACACCGGUGGCGAAGGCGGGGU
rnacentral:rRNA from 1 species